AUCCAGGCAGGAAGUGACAUAACAAGGAGACUCAUAUUUAAGCAAAGGAAACAGAAAGUGUCCCCUUUUCCCCUUUGCAUCCUCCAGUGGCAGUAUGUGAGCCACUGGCAAGAGAGGGCACCAGCGAAAGGCAUCCUCUAUAAGAGGUCUGGCAGAACCCUCAUGGAUAUGAAGGACCAGAAUUGAAGAUACAUUUAAUAAUAUAUAUGUGUAUGUAUACCUUUAAAUUUCAUUUAAUAUAUUUA
rnacentral:lncRNA from 1 species